UUACAAAGUCAAUCAAUUUACAAGAAAUUGGUGGGGAGCCGAGAUACAAUCUGGGCCCCCACCCCUCUAUCUAUAGCGAACUCGAUCCUGCUGAAGAUCUAAGCAGCUGCAUGAGCACCAAUAUCCUGAGUCUUACACUAGUAGAAAAAUACAAAUAGGCAGCCCCCAAUUGGCACCGGUUCAGACCAAACCGGUGCCAAAAACCGGCCUAAAAUUGGGCGGGGAUUUAGACCAAGAACAAUGGCACCGGUUCAGAUCAAACCGGUGCCAAAAAUAACAAGGCCGCCGGUUUGAACCGGUGCCACUGAACCGGUGCUACAAAAAAAACCCGGAUUGUUUAUUUAUAAACCCUAACAUCCUUAUCUCUCCUCUUAGCUUCUCUCUCCUCUCUUUCUCCUCCAAGGCUCCAACUGAGCGCCUCUCCUCCUUCUCCUCCAACUGAGCGCCUCUCCUCCUCUCUCCUCUCUUUCUCCUCUCAGCUUUCCGACCUCUGUUCUCUGUCUCUCUCCCCUCUCUGUCCUCUUCUUCUGACCUGAAAACUACAUCUAAGCCCGACUUCGUCCCUCUCGCAGUAGGUGCUUCUUGCUUGCCUCGCUCUUGUGACAUGCAUGCUAUCUUAGAGUGAGGUGUUAAUUCAAGCAACAAGGAUUCAAGAUUUCUAUUUUGGAAUAUUAUUUUGAUGUUGUAAAUUUUUUUUUUUUUUUAUUGUUUUACAAUUUCAAUUUCUGAGUUAAUUAUAAUUCAUUGUAAUUUUUUUUUUUGUUUUGUAUGGUACAAUAACAAUUUACUUGUUGAAUUACCAUUGUUUUGAUGUUGAAUAUAACAAUUUCAAGAA